rnacentral:rRNA from 1 species
AUACGUAGGUGGCAAGCGUUGUCCGGAUUUACUGGGCGUAAAGGAUGUGUAGGCGGAUGCUUAAGUGAGAUGUGAAAGCCCCGAGCUUAACUUGGGGACUGCAUUUCAAACUGGGUAUCUAGAGUGCAGGAGAGGAAAGCGGAAUUCCUAGUGUAGCGGUGAAAUGCGUAGAGAUUAGGAAGAACAUCAGUGGCGAAGGCGGCUUUCUGGACUGUAACUGACGCUGAGGCAUGAAAGCGUGGGGAGCAAACAGGAUUAGAUACCCUGGUAGUCCACGCCGUAAACGAUGAGUACUAGGUGUAGGAGGUAUCGACUCCUUCCGUGCCGCAGUUAACACAAUAAGUACUCCGCCUGGGAAGUACGGUCGCAAGAUUAAA